CUUUCUCUGCUGCCUCCUUCGGUGCGCGAUCUAUCUCCGCGCGUCGACCGCGUGCAAGCGCGAGCUAGAGAAGCGGGUCACAGAGAUCCUGGAGCACGUGACGGUGGACGACCUCCUUGUGCUUACGUUCACCUACGACGGAGAGAGGCUCUUGGAUCUGGACAGCGUGAGGAGGAUCAUAUCCGGCUUUGUGGAGAAGGAGAAGAGCACAACGGUGUUCAACGCAGGCGCCAACUUCAACGAACACUUCUCCCCCUCGAUGCAGCGCGUGGCCAAAACCAUCGACGCAUACCUCGCUGAGAUCGCCGCUUACGGCGAACUCCCCAUCUCUAAGUUCAACGGCAUCUCCAUCCUCAUUCCCGGAGGCGCUAGAAAAUCCGACGACGAUCUAUACCGUGCCGUUGAUAUCUACCUCAAGGUACACACUAUGUCAUUGUCAUCAAGUUCCCCCCAAAAGAGGGAUUAACUAAACAAGGACACCUUUUGGAAUUAAACUAAUUAACUAAUAGUCUGCAAGUUUUUUUUUUAAUCACCAUACUGAAUAACUACCAGUAUACUAACACAUUUAAAAUUAAGGUUAAAUUAUUUGAAUUAAUCUUUAAUUUAGUAUUUUAAGUUUUUUUUUUCUUUCUUUUUUUACUCACUAUCAUUCUUUCUCUUUAAGCUCUUAAAGUAAUUAAAUUGCAUAACUAGUGCUUCAAUUAUUGAAUAUCUAUCAGUUCAAUUGUUGUUAUGUCACUAACAUUCCCUAAAUAAUUUAGAAAAUUAAUUAACAUGAUAUCUAAUACUUAAAAAAUUAGUUAUGUAAUGUGUUUUACUUUAGAAAUUACCUAACAGAGAAUAACAGAGCAUUCUCAGGAUAUAAUUGAUUAUUUAUUUAUUUAUUUCAAGUAUAUAAUCAAAUAAAUACAUCAUUCUCUCUUCUAAUAGAGUAUAAAGCAUAUAUACAAAUUUCUGGAUAUUAGAAAUGAUACUUUAAAUAAUCUUUUAAUGUUAAAAAUUCUUUACAGUAACUUUGAUAUAUCAGCAAAAAAGGUUGUGCAGAAAUAAAAAGAUAUAAUGAUAAAAAAAGAGUCUAUAUAUAAAUAAUGUGCAGUUAUUAUUUUAAAAAUUUAUCUAAAUUUAUAUUUUAAAUUAUACCUAAAUUAAUAAUUAGUUAAAAAAUUGUCCAAAAUGCGAUUAACCAUACAAGUAAGUAACUUAGGAAAGGCACGAUCUAACCUAAACCUAACCAGUGAUCAAGUAACUAACUAACUAACUCCACACGCGUGUUGUUGCAGGCGCACCCGAACCUGGACGAGAUAGAGAAGGAGAAGGUGUGCAGUGUAAUGGACCCACUGAAACUAUCAUACGAGGCGCGUGUGCACGCGUCGAAGAACAAGCGGUUGCCGUUGCAGAUCGUCCUUCACGCGCUGUAUUACGACCAACUACACUU
rnacentral:lncRNA from 1 species